CGCGGCCUAUCAGCUUGUUGGUGGGGUAAUGGCCUACCAAGGCUUCGACGGGUAGCCGGCCUGAGAGGGCGACCGGCCACACUGGGACUGAGACACGGCCCAGACUCCUACGGGAGGCAGCAGUGGGGAAUAUUGCGCAAUGGGCGAAAGCCUGACGCAGCAACGCCGCGUGAGGGAUGACGGCCUUCGGGUUGUAAACCUCUUUCAGCAGGGACGAAGCGAAAGUGACUGUACCUGCAGAAGAAGCGCCGGCUAACUACGUGCCAGCAGCCGCGGUAAUACGUAGGGCGCAAGCGUUGUCCGGAUUUAUUGGGCGUAAAGAGUUCGUAGGCGGUCUGUCGCGUCGGAAGUGAAAACCCGGAGCUCAACUCCGGGCCUGCUUUCGAUACGGGCAGACUUGAGUGUUGCAGGGGAGACUGGAAUUCCUGGUGUAGCGGUGGAAUGCGCAGAUAUCAGGAGGAACACCGGUGGCGAAGGCGGGUCUCUGGGCAACAACUGACGCUGAGGAACGAAAGCGUGGGGAGCGAACAGGAUUAGGUACCCUGGUAGUCCACGCUGUAAACGGUGGGCACUAGGUGUGGGGACCAUUCCACGGUCUCUGCGCCGCAGCUAACGCAUUAAGUGCCCCGCCUGGGGAGUACGG
rnacentral:rRNA from 1 species